UUUAACAACUUGUAACAAGCUUGAUGGUAUUAUCAAAUUUGUUACAAGGUCUGCUCUAACAAGUCUGAUACAGUCAUGAUAUAACAAGAAUACAAGGUUGACGACACAAGGUUGCAACAAUAUUGUUAUAUCAUGGCUGUCUCGGAGCAAUCUUGCAACAAGUCUGAUAAUAUCAACAAGGUUGUUACAAGUUGUUAGC